GAUGAACGCUGGCGGCGUGCCUAAUACAUGCAAGUCGAGCGAACGGACGAGAAGCUUGCUUCUCUGAUGUUAGCGGCGGACGGGUGAGUAACACGUGGAUAACCUACCUAUAAGACUGGGAUAACUUCGGGAAACCGGAGCUAAUACCGGAUGAUAUUUUGAACCGCAUGGUUCAAAAGUGAAAGACGGUCUUGCUGUCACUUAUAGAUGGAUCCGCGCUGCAUUAGCUAGUUGGUAAGGUAACGGCUUACCAAGGCAACGAUGCAUAGCCGACCUGAGAGGGGGACCGGCAAAACGGGAACGGGGAAAGGUCCAAGACCCUAAGGGAAGGAAGAGUUAGGAAAUUUGCAGAAAGGGGGGAAGGCUUAACGAGCAACGCCGCGUGAGUGAUGAAGGUCUUCGGAUCGUAAAACUCUGUUAUUAGGGAAGAACAUAUGUGUAAGUAACUGUGCACAUCUUGACGGUACCUAAUCAGAAAGCCACGGCUAACUACGUG
rnacentral:rRNA from 1 species